UAGGGAAUAUUAGAAAUGGACGAAAGUCUGAUCUAGCAACACCGCGUGUGCGAAGAAGGCCUUUGGGUCGUGAAGCACUUUUUGGAAGGAAUAGGAAGGAAUGUACUUCCAGAAUAAGUCUCGGCUAACUACGUACCAGCAGCCGCGGUAACACGUAGGAGGCAAACGUUAUCCGGAUUUACUGGGCGUAAAGCGCGUGUAGGUGGUACUGUAAGUAGGGCGUGAAAGCUCCUGGCUCAACUGGGAGAGGCCGUUCUAAACUACAGAACUAGAGGAUGGUAGAGGGAGGUGGAAUUCCAGGUGUAGCGGUGGAAUGCGCAGAUAUCUGGAGGAACACCAGUGGCGAAGGCGGCCUCCUGGACCAUUCCUGACACUCAGACGCGAAAGCUAGGGUAGCAAACGG
rnacentral:rRNA from 1 species